CAGUCGCCGCGGGAAUGCGAAGGGGGCUAGCGUUGCUCGGAAUUACUGGGCGUAAAGGGAGCGUAGGCGGGUCGUUUAGUCAGAGGUGAAAUCCCGGGGCUCAACCUCGGAACUGCCUUUGAUACUGGCGACCUUGAGUAUGGGAGAGGUGAGUGGAACUCCGAGUGUAGAGGUGAAAUUCGUAGAUAUUCGGAAGAACACCAGUGGCGAAAGCGACUCACUGGCCCAUUACUGACGCUGAGGCUCGAAAGCGUGGGGAGCAAACAGGAUUAGAUACCCCCGUAGUCCCUGUCUCUUAUAC
rnacentral:rRNA from 1 species